rnacentral:rRNA from 1 species
GCUCCUUGGUGAUUCAUAAUAACUUAACGAAUCGCAUGGCCUUGUGCCGGCGAUGGUUCAUUCAAAUUUCUGCCCUAUCAACUUUCGAUGGUAGAGUAGUGGUCUACCAUGGUUUCAACGGGUAACGGGGAAUUAGGGUUCUAUUCCGGAGAGGGAGCCUGAGAAACGGCUACCACAUCCAAGGAAGGCAGCAGGCGCGCAAAUUACCCAAUCCCGACACGGGGAGGUAGUGACAAUAAAUACUGAUACAGGGCUCUUUUGGGUCUUGUAAUUGGAAUGAGUACAAUUUAAAUCCCUUAACGAGGAACAAUUGGAGGGCAAGUCUGGUGCCAGCAGCCGCGGUAAUUCCAGCUCCAAUAGCGUAUAUUAAAGUUGUUGCAGUUAAAAAAGCUCGUAGUUGAACCUUGGGCCUGGCUGGCCGGUCCGCUUCACCGGUGCACUGGUCCCGGGCGGGCCUUUUCCUUCUGGGGGAACCCUAUGGCCUUCACUGGGUGUGUCCGGGGAAACCAGGAACUUUUACUUUUGGAAAAAAUUCAGAGUGUUCAAGGCAAGGGCCUUAUGGUUCCGAAU